rnacentral:rRNA from 1 species
GUGGGCCCUCGAAAUCCUGUGGCGAGAGGAUUCAGUCUGGCGGUGCCGCUGGGAGUGUCCGGGCUCACAUGCCCGGCUCACCCCGACUCACGUCGAUCAGGAGCGCCGGCAACCCGGUGCUCCCGCGGCGCCGGAGGCCAGGGGCAUUUCUCUCUCGUCCAAUAGGACGCCGCAGCGGGCCGGGAUCAGAAAAGCACGGCCUGAGGUUCGGACGAUGGCAGGUGGCCGGUGGCGUCCCCUCGGGGGUGCCGCCGGUUGUUAGCCGGUCCGUCCGUUGGCACGUCUCCCGGUCGUGGUGAACGCUAGUCCCUCGUGGACUCGCCGUCUUCUCCGCCCAGCGGACGCAGGCGGGUCGCUGCAGGAAUGAGGCGGUGCCUGGACGCACACCACACGUGUGGUACGGGCGCUGCUUUCCGCCGAUGGCGGUGCGGGACCUGUAGGAGACAGACGGCUCGCGGCGAGUAGGUCGGUCACCCACCCGACCCGUCUUGAAACACGGACCAAGGAGUCUAACAUGUGCGCGAGUCAAUGGGACUUGUACAGGCCCAGAGGCGCAAUGAAAGCAAAGGCCGACCAUGCGUCGGCUCAGUCGGGAUCCUCUCCUUGCGGGAGGCGCACCGACGGCCCGUCCCGUCCGGCUCGUCCGGUGGGGCGGAGCGUGAGCGUACACGUUGGGACCCGAAAGAUGGUGAACUAUGCCCGGGCAGGAUGAAGCCAGAGGAAACUCUGGUGGAGGUCCGCAGCGGUUCUGACGUGCAAUCGAUCGUCAGACCUGGUUUAG